rnacentral:rRNA from 1 species
AUUGAACGCUGGCGGCAGGCCUAACACAUGCAAGUCGAGCGGGGUUUUCGGACCUAGCGGCGGACGGGUGAGUAAUGCGUAGGAAGCUACCCGAUAGAGGGGGAUACCAGUUGGAAACGACUGUUAAUACCGCAUAAUGUCUACGGACCAAAGUGUGGGACCUUCGGGCCACAUGCUAUCGGAUGCGCCUACGUGGGAUUAGCUAGUUGGUGAGGUAAUGGCUCACCAAGGCGACGAUCUCUAGCUGGUUUGAGAGGAUGAUCAGCCACACUGGAACUGAGACACGGUCCAGACUCCUACGGGAGGCAGCAGUGGGGAAUAUUGGACAAUGGGCGGAAAAGACCUGAUCCAGCAAUGCCGCGUGAGUGAUGAAGGCCUUA